CUAAUGAAACCCUAAUCCAUAGCCAUUUGUAUACAACAUCAACAACAACUCUAUAUAAAUAACAUAAGAUCUUUGUUUCUCCUCGCUCACUCUAACCUCGGAACAAAAAACAAUAAAAAUGAGACGUUUCGUGGUGGUCGCAUUGAUGAUGAUGGUGGUGGCCUCUUCUUCUUGCUUGGCGGUUGGCCAUGAACUAGGGAGGAAGCUUGUGGUUGAGAAGAGUGGCAACAACAACGAUGAUAAUGGCGGCGGCUAUAUGAAUUCACGCCCUAAUGAUUUGGAAAAUCACCAUUGCAAACCCUGGCAAGACUUCAGCAACGACAACGGUAAUAACGGUGGCACACCCGUUGGACCUAAAGCUGGGGGUGCAUGCUAAGCUAAUAGUGUUAUAGUGUUUGUAUAGUUUAUGCUGCACGUACGCUAAAAAAUUAACAACUUUAAUUACUGCAUGUAUGGUGAGAUUUUUAUAUGGUCAUAUUGUAUGUGUGUGUAUACGCGCGCGGUGUGCUAUGUAUUUUAGCUUUGUGUUGGAUGGAAAUGCAUUAUUAUACGAAACAAUAAAUGAUAUUUUGGCUUU